GAUGAACGCUGGCGGCGUGCCUAAUACAUGCAAGUCGAGCGAACGGACGAGAAGCUUGCUUCUCUGAUGUUAGCGGCGGACGGGUGAGUAACACGUGGAUAACCUACCUAUAAGACUGGGAUAACUUCGGGAAACCGGAGCUAAUACCGGAUGAUAUUAUGAACCGCAUGGUUCAAAAGUGAAAGACGGUCUUGCUGUCACUUAUAGAUGGAUCCGCGCUGCAUUAGCUAGUUGGUAAUGUAACGGCUUACCAAGGCAACGAUGCAUAGCCGACCUGAGAGGGUGAUCGGCCACACUGGAACUGAGACACGGUCCAGACUCCUACGGGAGGCAGCAGUAGGGAAUCUUCCGCAAUGGGCGAAAGCCUGACGGAGCAACGCCGCGUGAGUGAUGAAGGUCUUCGGAUCGUAAAACUCUGUUAUUAGGGAAGAACAUAUGUGUAAGUAACUGUGCACAUCUUGACGGUACCUAAUCAGAAAGCCACGGCUAACUACGUG
rnacentral:rRNA from 1 species